AGUCUUGUAGUGUAAACACGUCAGAUUGCAAAUCUGAAGAUGCGCCCUUAUCCGCGCCGGGGCUU
rnacentral:tRNA from 1 species